rnacentral:rRNA from 1 species
AUGAAUGAUAUGGCCCGUGAUGCCUAUGCCGCCCUUUCUGCGGAGAAGGACCCGCUCAAGCAGAAGUGCUUGAAACUACUUCUGACCCAUGACAUCAGAGGAACCCGAAGUUUCUACCAAUACAAGGCAUUUGAGCUUGUCCCGAGCCGUUCUUCAGUUUUUAAAAUUGACUUUGAACAUGUGCUCCAAGAGGGUUAUCUCGACGUUGCCAUAAAGAUUUGGGAGGACAACGAAGCUGGUAACGGUUUUGGUUACCUAAGGAAAACUGCUGUGGAUUUCCUGAAGACGCAGUGUUUGUUUGAGAAAGAAGUCAUAGAUGUUGUAGACAUUGGCUAUGAUCAUUUCCCAUUGGUCAUGCAACCAUUCUCAAAGUACAAGCCUGAAGAACUGAUGAAAGAAGACAACAGUCUGUUUGGUCAAUCGAAUAAUCUUGUCAAUGCAAGAUUUCGUGGGAGGCAGAUCAUCAUAAGCGCCCACGAGCAUGCUCGCGAGAAUCAUGCCGCUGGAAGAACCUGGGGUGGUCAUUUUGAUGCCAGUAAAAUUUACAUAAUAGAGUUCAGCUGCCAUAAAAUUUGGUGUCGGAUCCUAGCAACAACUACUGAGUUCACUCCAGCAAAUCAAGUGCUAGAUGUGAAGCAGAUCCAUAAAUCAAUGGCUGGGCAAUAUGAAAUCAAUGGGAGCUCUCCACCGCAUUUUGAAUGCCUUCAAGUUGACAUCGAUGGCCUGAAUGCCAACAGUGCUGUAAACACCUCAAUUAUGGAGUACUUUCCAUACCAUGUCGCUUUCAUGCCAGACGGCGCGAACAAGCAUUUCACGGAGGAGCUGCACAAUAUCACCGAGGGCGUUUGGAUGGAUGUCGACGACUUGAAAGUGUAUAACCACAUCUUUGAGUCGGAACUAACUGAUGUAUCUGAUUGGAGAGAUGAUUACAGCUCCUUAGCUGAUCCAGUCCUAAGAGGAGUCUAUAAUUAUGAACAUACAGCUCUUGAGAUGUCGCAGGGUCAGAGAAUACAGCAGAAUUUAGCUCAGCCACAGCAGGCCCAGGUUGAGCUGGUUAUGCCACAGCAGGUCCAAGAGACAGUGCGGCAGCAGUUCCAUGUGGGCUUGGUUCAGCCACAGCAAGCUGAGUAUGAGUUGGGUAUGUCACAGCAGGUCGAGCCAGUGAAUCAGCGGCAGCAGGCCCAGGUGGGCUUGGUCCAGCAGAUAGUGACCACCGUGGAGGGCACAUCAGAAGCGAGCACGUCAGCUGGAAAAUCAAAAAGAUUCAAGCGCACGUUGAAAGGGAAGCUGACCUGCAAACGACACCUGCUUGUGCAUGUGCGCAGCUACAUGGUUGGUAAAAGGCCACUGGUGGGUUUAUUUCAAGCUGAAACCUAUGCGGCAAAGCGUAAUCCUGUGCUUGGAGAAAUUUUCAGCCUUCUAUUCAAGGGGAAAACCAUGCAUUUGGGUGGCCACCUUGCCCCUCUCUUGGUGUUGUACCGUGCCUUGAGGGAUACUGAUGAGGAACGUCAAGUCUGUCAAGUGAGAUGA